GAUGAACGCUGGCGGCGUGCCUAAUACAUGCAAGUCGAGCGAAUGGAUUAAGAGCUUGCUCUUAUGAAGUUAGCGGCGGACGGGUGAGUAACACGUGGGUAACCUGCCCAUAAGACUGGGAUAACUCCGGGAAACCGGGGCUAAUACCGGAUAACAUUUUGAACCGCCUGGUUCGAAAUUGAAAGGCGGCUGCGGCUGUCACUUAUGGAUGGACGCGCGUCGCAUUAGCUAGUUGGUGAGGUAACGGCUCGCCAAGGCAACGAUGCGUAGCCGACCUGAGAGGGUGAUCGGCCACACUGGGACUGAGACACGGCCCAGACUCCUACGGGAGGCAGCAGUAGGGAAUCUUCCGCAAUGGACGAAAGUCUGACGGAGCAACGCCGCGUGAGUGAUGAAGGCUUUCGGGUCGUAAAACUCUGUUGUUAGGGAAGAACAAGUGCUAGUUGAAUAAGCUGGCACCUUGACGGUACCUAACCAGAAAGCCACGGCUAACUACGUGCCAGCAGCCGCGGUAA
rnacentral:rRNA from 1 species